AGGGCACCACCAGGAGUGGAGCCUGCGGCUUAGUUUGACUCAACACGGGGAAACUUACCCGGCCUGGACACUGGAAGGAUUGACAGAUCGAGAGCUCUUUCUUGAUUCAGUGGGUGGUGGUGCAUGGCCGUUCUUAGUUGGUGGAGCGAUUUGUCUGGUUAAUUCCGAUAACGAACGAGACUCUAGCCUAUUAAAUAGGCUCUCGGCUUUUAAACGCCGGGAGGACUUCUUAGAGGGGCAGGUGGCGGUUCAGCCGCACGAAAGAGAGCAAUAACAGGUCUGUGAUGCCCUUUGUUGUCCGGGGCCGCACGCGCGCUACACUGAAGAGAUCAGCGUGCUUUACGUUCCUGCUCCGACCGGAGUGGGGAACCCAGUGAACCUUCUUCGUGAUUGGGAUAGAAGAUUGUAAUUAUUCUUCUUGAACGAGGAAUUCCCAGUAAAUGCGAGUCAUAAGCUCGCGUUGAUUACGUCCCUGCCCUUUGUACACACCGCCCGUCGCUACUACCGAUUGAACGAUUU
rnacentral:rRNA from 1 species